UCAAAGAGCUCAAAGGAAGAAAACAUCCCAAGCAGCACGGAGAGACCAGCAAUCUCACACUUUAUAAGUGAUAUAAAAGAUGAGAGGAUGAGAAAAGUUGUUUGAAUUUGACAAGAAGUAGUUAUGGCCCCAUUUCAGAAUCAGAAAAUAAGAGAUCCUCUCUCCAGAAAGAUGCACAGAUGACCAGAAGGAUCAAAGUUUGUCUGCAGUAUUUACAGCAACCAUCCAACCCCUGCUGAGCCAAGGAUCAUGAAUAAGCAGUUAAACCUCUUCAUUUCAGAAGAAGCAAAGAAGGUUGCCCCUGCAAAUGAAGAUUGAUAUACACAAAUCCAGGAAGAGAUGAUGUGAAGGGGAAGAGAGAGAUUGAUGAUUGGUGUGUUGUGGCCACAAGCUAAGGAAUGCUGGUAACCAACCAAAGUUAGAAGAAGCAACAAAUGGACUCUCCCUUGGAGCCCUGGGAUGGAGUAUGGCUGUGUUGACAUCUUGGUUUCUUUACACAUAGACACUGAUUUAGAACUUCUGGCCUUCAGAACUGUGAUAGAGUAAAUUUGUGUUGUUUUAAGCAACUAAGAAUCUGUAAUAAUUUCUAACAGGAAAUAGAUACAUUGGACUGAUUUAGGAUUUAUAUUUUUGAGAAUUUACUCUCAGAGCAAAAAAUAUUCCUAUGUUUUUAAAAAAUGUUCAUUAUAAUUGGUGUAGCUGGUGGAGGCAAAAAUCAUAUAUAGUUAAAUAGUAAGUAUGGUAACCUUGAGGCUUACCAAAAUUAUGAGUUUUAAAAAAUUUGCUCCCAUUUUUGCAUUCUUCUCUUUUUUUACAAAUCAAUAAUAUUCUGUGCAUACAUGUUUUGCUUUUGCAUGAGUGCCUAAUUGACUUUUCUUUAAAACACCAAAAAUCCAAUGCCUCUACUUAUAUAUUGGCAUUGCUACAAUAAAAUGAAAAAAGAAACAAUUAUAUACAACAUAUAAGGAAUAUAUAUAAAUCUGCAAAAGUCUUAUUUUUCUCUAGAACUCAGAUUAUAAACAUAGAAUUGUAUUUUUCAGAUAUAAAAUCAAAUUAAAUUUACACAUUAAAAUGACAGAUCAGAGAUUCUCAUGAAAGCCAAAAUAUUAACUACAAUUUAGGUUAACCGACAAUUGGUUAUGUGAAGAAAUUGAAACUACCCCUCCUACAAGGGCUUGUCUAGAUAACUUAGCACUGAUUUUAAACUUUCAAAGCAUUUAUCUAUAAUUGUCUGCUAGCAUAAUAUUCACCUCUUAGGCAAAUUAUUUUCUUUAUAUUCAAUUGU